UUACGGAGAAGGCAAUGAGCGUC
rnacentral:miRNA from 1 species